UACGAAGGGUGCAAGCGUUACCUCGGAAUUACUGGGCGUAAAGCGUGCGCAGGCGGUCUGUUAAGACCGAUGUGAAAUCCCCGGGCUUAACCUGGGAACUGCAUUGGUGACUGGCAGGCUUUGAGUGUGGCAGAGGGAGGUAGAAUUCCACGUGUAGCAGUGAAAUGCGUAGAGAUGUGGAGGAAUACCGAUGGCGAAGGCAGCCUUCUGGGCCAACACUGACGCUCAUGCACGAAAGCGUGGGGAGCAAACAGG
rnacentral:rRNA from 1 species